CGAGGGUGGCGGAGGCGGCGGGGCCGGGGUCCGAGCUGUGGAGGGCGGCAGGGCCUGGGACGCUCUGAGGGGCCGGGGCCGAGCGAGGCUGUGGGCUGCCGGCCGGCGAAGCCGAGGGACGCGGAGCCCGGGGCGCCCUGAGGGGCCGGGGUCACGGGCCCGGGGCUGGUCGCUGGGCCGAGGCGGCCCGCGCACCCCUCGGAGGCCCAGGAGGAGGCAGCCCCUGGGGGGCGGGCGGGGGUCGGGGCUCCCGGGCCUGCUGAAUCACCCCGCGCCUCGGCCCCGCCGCCCCCGCGAGCUUGCUGCCCGGCGACGGUCGCGCUUCUGGGGCCCAUGGGUCCCCGGACGGCGCCGGGCAGGUCGGCUGUGAAGCGCGUCUCCUUCGGGGCCAGUUUUUCCGGCGCGGAAGCCCGCCCGGGUGCGAGUGUUCCUUGCAGACCCGGGUGCCUCGGUCGAGAGGAGGGGAUCGGCCCCCGGCCCGCCGCGCCCGGGACAGCCCGCGGCGGUGUUGACAGCGCUGCCUGCAGCCCGGAGCUGGGGUGGGACAGCCCGCGGCGGUGUUGACAGCCCGGAGCUGGGGUGGGAGCUUCUCCUGGGCUCACCGCGACACCGGCCGCGACACCGGAAUUCCAGGGACACAGCCCUUCUCCGCCCGAUCUGACCGGAAACCCAACUCGGGUGUCCCGGCUGUGGGUAAACAUGCACGUGUCCCCAUCACAAUGACGAUGCGAAGCGAUUACUUCCCAGCUUGAUCAGGAGAACGCAGAGAUGCAGGCACCCGUUUUGGCCUGAGUUCCAGGCGCAGGUACGGUAGGAAGCACCGCGUUCAUCCCAGUGAACGGAGAACAGCGCUGCCGCCCUCGUCGGGGGCUCACGGUGAUGCUGUUUGUCUGUUUUGGCCUGAGUUCCAGGCGCAGGUACGGUAGGAAGCACCGCGUUCAUCCCAGUGAACGGAGAACAGCGCUGCCGCCCUCGUCGGGGGCUCACGGUGAUGCUGUUUGUCUGUUUUGGCCUGAGUUCCAGGCGCAGCGUUCAUUCAGUUGAUUAGUCAUCUGUGAACAAGCCUGAACCCUGGGGGAACACAGAUUGGACUGGAGCUGGGUCCUUCACUGCCAGGGGGCAGUCCGUUGAGGAAGACAAAAACAGAUCAUUACAGCAGUAGGAAACUAAGGGA